rnacentral:lncRNA from 1 species
AUGCUGGUUUGUUCCCAGGUUUUAGCUUCUUGGUGUUGUGGUCUCUUGAUUGACUCUUUGUUUUGCACACACUCAGGUAUUCUGCUCUCCAAACAUUCCUCCCGUGCCAUACUACAUUCAGAUUUAAACCACAGGCCGUGUCUCAUCCUCUCCACGGACCGACCUGCACUUCCUUUGCUCACCCACCUGGAUCAUCUGGACUCUAGCUGUCUAACUCUGAUCUCGCCAACCCCUGGACCCGACCACAGACCUGAUACCCCCUGCUGUCAUUCCCUGUCUCAGCCUUCUGCAUGGCUGAAGAGAAAACGAAGACGCCGGACCCGGAGGCAUCUGGGACCACCACGUCCACCAUGGAUUAUCUGUUCCUGCCCGAGAGUGAUUGUGGAAGAUUGGUGGCCGAAAGUGCGUCUGGGCCAUGGAUUGAAACGUUGGACGAUCCUUGUUACAGUACGGAUCUAGCUUGCUAGGGAAAAUGUAAUGCGUCUGUGUGUGCCUACUGUGCUGCCAACACAUGGACGUAAAUUUUAAAGCGUCCGAACGAGUGCACAGACAGCAGAAACGGUUCUUCUCCAGAUUGCACUUUAAAUGCAGACUCGCCAAUGGUGAGUAUGUCCAACGACAGUGGCUGCUUCACCCUCCAUCUACCGGAGCUGUGUUUUGUCUUGCAUGUCGCAUUUUCAGCGAUGCUAAAAGCAAAUCGUGCUUUGAAACUGGAAACAUGCCAAACACCGGAUGAAAGAGCAUGAAAACAGGGAACUGUUGUUUUGAGACAGCUGAUUUUUUCCAGUUUGUGCAAAACCUUUUUAACUUCCGCUCCACGUCAACAGCGAGGUGGAAGCUAGUGACAGCUGGCCUGCAGCCCAAUGCUAAUAAGCUCUUUGAAACAUUGAAGUCCCUUUCUAACACAAGAUGGGCUGCACAUGCAGAUGCCACAUAUGCAUGAAUUAUGCAAACAUUCAGAAAUCUCUAAAGAAUAUUGUACAUGACUCUAACCACAACGCAGCAACUAGAAAUGAUCGAGGUGACUUGAUAAAAAAAUGGAAACUGCCUUCAUGUGCACUGCGUGGCAGGGAUGUGUAUUUUAGAAAUUCUGGCGAUACGAUACAUAUCACGAUAUAUUGCGGUACAUUCAGUCAGACGUUACAAGCAUUUUUUUUUUUUUUACUGAAUUUACUGUAAGAAUGUUCAAUAAACAGUCCAAACUGAUACGUAACGUGUUUAACAUGAGGUAUCUGAACCAUGAUGGAGGGUUUUACAUUUCAAUGGAGGAAACAAAACCCGCUGCACACUGCUGCCACCUAGCGGGUGGCGAUUGAAUUGCACAAAACGAAAAGAAAAUACACAAAUGUUUGCAUGUAAAUUCUUUCAAGAAUUAGAUACACGGCCUUUGAAUAUCGUUGUAAUAAUCGCAGGAAGAAAUAUCAUGAUAUAUUGCCAUAUUGAUAUUUUCUUACAUCCCUACUGUGUGGCAUUUCAUCCUCCAGCGCUUUGAAAAGGCAAAUGUAGCGUUGCAGGCUGUGGAGCUAGGCUUGUGCAAAGCUGUGGAUUUGGUAAGAUCCUUGAGGGACUACAUUGGAGGUUUGAGAGAUCAGUUUGACAGGUUUGAGUCUCAAGCAGAGGAGUCGUCUCUAAAGACAUACAUAUACAUACAUGUGUGUGUGUGUGUGUGUGUGUGUGUGAGAGAGAGUUUAUUUUUUUAUAUAUCUAUUAAGGCCAGGACUUUAACGUGUAAAUUACAAUUAAUUAAUUAGAAAAAAAUAACGCGUAAAAAAAAUUAACGUAUUUAAUCACAGCUUGCAUUUCAAGCACGGCGGAACCUUUGUAGUUGCACGAUUUCCUCGUAGACUGAAUAUCACUGAAGUACACAACAAUGCACAGUGCUAAUGGCUACUAAAACGGAAUAAAAACAGAAAGAAGUUGCCUUGCCAGACAACAACGGAGUCCGUGUCGCGGGCAUUUUUCAGAGAUCAUCUCUGCUGCGGCUGCCCGGUGACACUGGAAACUUUACAAAAGUUGCGGUAAGCUAUAUUUUUAACAUUUACGUAACAUCUGUGCAGCGCUGAAAGCACCAGACAGAAUAAUUCUGUGCCCUAACAGUAGUUUAUGAAAGUAGUCAGAGAAACGAGAGGCACCUGGCUGCCGCUGGAGGAACGCUCCGUGUUCUCACUACUCUGUAAACAAUCACAAACAACGUGUCUUACAGUGGAAAACAGAAGUUUAAGUUAAAACAGAAACACUCUGAAACUUUUCUGAUGAUUUUCUAAACAAUUCGGUCGGGGAGUUAUACGUUUCUGAGACGAGUCUGUCUAAACAUCACAUGCAUUACUAUCAUUAAGCAGCGAGGUGUUUUGAAGCUGUCAUCAGCUAAGGGACGGAUGCUUAAGUGCAUCAGGAGCAGUGAGGAACGAGGAAGUUGUGAUCAGGCUGGAGAUCACACCAGAUUCGCUGCUGCAGGCGUGAAUCUGCGGGUCUGCAGCAUCCCCUUCUUAACGUGACAUCAGGACUUCCCAUGUAAGGAAGGUCCGCUCACCUGUUCGUCAGAUCAUUAUUUCCUCGCCAUGAUCUUUUAUCUUCCCAUCAACCUCCAGACAUCCAACUGGAACCAGUUAGUGUUCCUGAUCAUUCUCAGAAUAUGCCACGCCCAGGGCCAGAUUAAGACUUUGUUGUACCCUGGGCAACAAUAUUCAAGGGCCCCAUCAUCACGACCCAAGGAUCACCAUAAUAUGGUAACAUACAGAAUAUUUUACUGUAAUAUGCAGUAAAUAUACUCAAUAUUUGAAUGCCUGACUUCACUUAACCCGCUCAGGGUAACCUUUGACCCACCUUGUGUGGACUGACCAAUGAGGAGAGGGUCUUAACUUGAGGCCCUCUCUUCAUUGGUCAGUCUGCAUGAGACUGACUCUCAACUGACGUUCAAAGUCAUAGGCAGCGAAGCGUCUCUGUGCAGCGCAAAAGCCCGGGUGGACAGUUUGUUUAAUAUAGGGUGA